UGGGGAAUAUUGCACAAUGGGCGCAAGCCUGAUGCAGCCAUGCCGCGUGUGUGAAGAAGGCCUUCGGGUUGUAAAGCACUUUCAGCGAGGAGGAAGGUGGUGAACUUAAUACGUUCAUCAAUUGACGUUACUCGCAGAAGAAGCACCGGCUAACUCCGUGCCAGCAGCCGCGGUAAUACGGAGGGUGCAAGCGUUAAUCGGAAUUACUGGGCGUAAAGCGCACGCAGGCGGUUUGUUAAGUCAGAUGUGAAAUCCCCGGGCUCAACCUGGGAACUGCAUUUGAAACUGGCAAGCUAGAGUCUCGUAGAGGGGGGUAGAAUUCCAGGUGUAGCGGUGAAAUGCGUAGAGAUCUGGAGGAAUACCGGUGGCGAAGGCGGCCCCCUGGACGAAGACUGACGCUCAGGUGCGAAAAGCGUGGGGAGCAAACAGGAUUAGAUACCCCUGGUAGGUCCACGCUGUAAAACGAUGUCGAUUUUGGAGGUUGUGCCCUUGAGGCGUGGCUUCCGGAGCUAACGCGUUAAAUCGACCGCCU
rnacentral:rRNA from 1 species